rnacentral:rRNA from 1 species
AUUGAACGCUGGCGGCAGGCCUAACACAUGCAAGUCGAGCGGAUGAAGGGAGCUUGCUCCUGGAUUCAGCGGCGGACGGGUGAGUAAUGCCUAGGAAUCUGCCUGGUAGUGGGGGAUAACGUCCGGAAACGGGCGCUAAUACCGCAUACGUCCUGAGGGAGAAAGUGGGGGAUCUUCGGACCUCACGCUAUCAGAUGAGCCUAGGUCGGAUUAGCUAGUUGGUGGGGUAAAGGCCUACCAAGGCGACGAUCCGUAACUGGUCUGAGAGAAUGAUCAGUCACACUGGAACUGAGACACGGUCCAGACUCCUACGGGAGGCAGCAGUGGGGAAUAUUGGACAAUGGGCGAAAGCCUGAUCCAGCCAUGCCGCGUGUGUGAAGAAGGUCUUCGGAUUGUAAAGCACUUUAAGUUGGGAGGAAGGGCAGUAAGUUAAUACCUUGCUGUCUUGACGUUACCAACAGAAUAAGCACCGGCUAACUUCGUG